rnacentral:lncRNA from 1 species
UUUCUAAUAGGUUGGUGAUGGAAGAACUAGGGCACAAUCGGUACACCAAAAGGAACUAGUCUGAACCCGAUUUGAUGAUCAAUAUGUUGGCUAUAUGAACGUAGAUUUUUUCGAAGAAUAUGAAGGUUGGAAGCUCUUGUGGACGAGAGGGAACAAUGGAGUAUUUUUUUUUUUUUGGAAUUUAUUUCUAAAGGAUAACUAAGGAAACUAGGUUGAGUCUCACACCCUAGGUUCCUAGAAUUUGAGGAGAAGGUUGGGGCGUCUCACCUUUAUCUUCUUCUCUCCAAUGGUGUCUCACCAAUGGCUGGAAAAGAGCCCUUCUUUUCGUGGUCUCUCUCUCACAAAUCUCUAUAAUUUUUUUUUUCAAAUAAAUUUGAUAUCAUUUCAUUCAUCAAAACCUCCUCUUAUAAAGAGAAAGAGGUUGGAAGUUACAAACAGAUUUACUUAGACUCAAAAUGAGAUAAGGACAUUUUUUAAAAUUCAAAUCUAAUGACAAACUUCCUAAACAACUUGCCAACUAAAGGUUGGACAAGUGUCAACCCUUCAUGGUGUGUGGGUUGGAGAUUAGGAGCAGGAAACCCCAACCGCACCAUUACUCAAACACCUUCUCGAGUACCAACAUCAGCAUGAAGUUCG